rnacentral:rRNA from 1 species
GAUGAACGCUAGCUACAGGCUUAACACAUGCAAGUCGAGGGGCAGCAUGAUUGAAGCUUGCUUCAAUCGAUGGCGACCGGCGCACGGGUGAGUAACACGUAUCCAACCUGCCGAUAACUCGGGGAUAGCCUUUCGAAAGAAAGAUUAAUACCCGAUAGUAUAGUAUUUCCGCAUGGUUUCACUAUUAAAGAACUUCGGUUAUCGAUGGGGAUGCGUUCCAUUAGAUAGUUGGCGGGGUAACGGCCCACCAAGUCAACGAUGGAUAGGGGUUCUGAGAGGAAGGUCCCCCACAUUGGAACUGCGACACGGUCCAAACUCCUACGGGAGGCAGCAGUGAGGAAUAGUGGUCAAUGGACGAGAGUCUGAACCAGCCAAGUAGCGUGAAGGAUGACUGCCCUAUGGGUUGUAAACUUCUUUUAUACGGGAAUAAAGUGGAGUAGGCAUACUCCUUUGUAUGUACCGUAUGAAUAAGGAUCGGCUAACUCCGUG